CCGCUCAACGGGGCGGCGUGCAGGGUAGACUACAAGACUAGGGACCAGGUGAGGGGGACGGUAUUCCGUGGGGAGCGGUAAAAUGUGAUAAUCCUCGGAGGACCACCAAUGGCGAAGGCAGUUCACCAAAAUGGAUCCGACGGUGAGGGAUGAAAGCUAGGGGAGCGAUCCGGAUUAGAUACCCCAGUAGUCCUAGCUGUAAACUCUGCGUGCCAGAGGUUGCGUAAUCUCCGAGAUUGCGCAGUGUCGUAACGAAGGUGUUUAAGCACGCCACCUGGGAAGUACGGUCGCAAGGUUGAGACUUAAAGGAAUUGGCGGGGGAGCACCACAAGGGGUGAAGCGUGCGUUUCGACUGUACUCAACGCCGGGGAAACUUACAAGGGGAGACAGCAGAAUGACAGUCAGGUUGACGACCUUACGUCGACGAGCAGAGAGGAGGGGCAUGGCCGUCGCCAGUUCGUGCUGUGAGGUACCGUGUUAAGUCAGGCAACGAACGAGAUCCGCGCCUUUAUUUGCCAUCA
rnacentral:rRNA from 1 species